GCAAGAAGCUACUAUAUAUUGUGUGAACAAUCCUCCCAAAUGUCACUGCGGUGUUUGUGCCAAACUUCAAAGGCCUAAUAUUGGUGUCCCUCCAAAGUUCACUCCCUUUUUUAGAUGCUCGCUAAAGACUAGAGAUGGAUGGCCGGCAUGUGAAUUCAAUGAGUAUAUUUAUGGUCCUAGAUCUCAUUGGCUGACAGAAGAGGAAGUGCGAGAAUUUGAGAGUGGGAAGAAGCCAUGGCCAUGUACAACUACUCCUAGUCUUCGAUGCAAGUGUGGUAUUCUGCCCACAAAAAGCGUAGUUCCUUCUGAGCUUGGCUACGGAUAUUACUGUGGCAAUAGCUACGGAGAGUAUUGGGAGAGAAGGACAUGUGAUUGGGAGUGGUUCCAAUGCCAGUAUGAGCUAAUGUUGCAAUUGGGCAGAACAAAAGAGCCUUGGAAAUCUAGAGACACUAUAAAUAGAAAACUGAAGAUAAAGAAGGAUUACCAAGUUACUUUGCCCCUUGAGUCAUUUCUGUCAGGGCCUGUACUCCAAGACCUACGGUGUGAGUAUGG